UCCUCGCUAUCUGCUUAGCCAUCCACCUUUCCUAUCUCUUCCCGAUGGCAGUUGGACAGCCGGUCCUUUGCGCCCCCAGCCCCUCCACGAAUACCACCGACGAAAUCGUGCUGAAGCCCGUGGCAGGAGGGCUCCGCUGGCCGCAGGGUAGUGCGGGUUGGAGGCACUGGUGGUGGCGCCGCACAUGGGGGCGGAUCCCGAGUCGAUGGUGUCGCAUUGGCGGCAGGAUUCGCAAGGUUUGGCGGCGAUUUCGCGAUUAUAUUUGGUUCCUGAUGAAUUGGGUAAUAUUGUUAGUCCUAUUCGCUGGCGUGGUGAUGCCGGAGGGAAGGCGGUGGCUGGUUGGUUCGAGGAUUCGAGCAGAGCAUGAUCUUGAUGACGCGUGCGCUCUAGCGCCUUGAGGAUGACGAUUUCAGGACGGCUUGGAGGGACCGACGCAGGUUAGCGGCACCCCAUCAUAGUUUGAAUCGUUGUUUGACGAAUUGAUUCUUGGGCACCUAGAGGGGUGCUGUACCGUUCAAUCCAUUAUUGGGUACAAGUUGCAGAAAACAGUCAUGUACGUCGCUGCUGUCCUUCCUCGAGCAGCAAGCCAGCGUCAGGCUGCCUCUAUUGAGCCCCUACCGCAUGUAUUGCAGGUCAGAUCUUGCACUCAAAUAAAUCAUACGCGGGCUAUGUACACUGAAGUUAAUGUCAUGCCGUGUUAGUACACCACCGACUUAUUCUUGACCAUGGUUUGAGUUCUUGACUUGGUAUUAUCUUUCUAUCAAGCAAAAGUUUGUAAGAUAUAGUGGUUCAGACAUAGUCCCUCCUCGACAAUAGAUGAAAGGGUAGCCCUCCACGAUGACCAAGUAUAGAUAGUUUAUAUGCAGGUUCGUGUCAUGAGAGAAGUGUCUAUCUGAUUAAUAGUUUAAAACACAUCACUCAUGAUAAAUAAGACAAUUGUAGUGCCAUGAGUGAUUCAAUUCCUGGCCUAAACUAACCAUCCAACUGUUUAUUUAGGUAUACUUCAUGAAACAGAACCAUUACAUGGAAUCCGUCUUUUAGCGGGUAUAGUAGCAUUUGAAGGGGCAAUCUGUUGCUGUUUAUCGGCCACGAAAUGUUGUAAAAGUGGGCGCAAUGAAGAAAAUCUCCAAUUUAGAAUUGAUGCACCUCAUUUGUGUCAUUUUCUCAUCUAGCUUCUAAUAUGGGACCAUCAGUAACAGUCGCUGCAGUUGAUGAAUCAUUAACUCCAGUUGUGGAUACUUUCAGUCUGCUCAAUAGUGUGGACCAAUAUGAUGUGUUGGCUUCUGAUAUAUAUUUAGGAUGAAACCAGUUUCACAUUCAUCA